ensembl:snoRNA small nucleolar RNA, H/ACA box 38
UCCUCCUACAGAGGCGUGUCUGUGGUUGCUUGUCUUUGGACAUUUAAGAAUUGAAGGCAAAGAAAUGUGGGCUUGGAGAAGUCUGGGGUCAGCUUGCUCCCUAAAGGCUCAGGAUCACUCAUCCCACAUAG